UGUUACUCGGUUGGCUACAAACGUAUGC
rnacentral:piRNA from 1 species